AGGAGGGUGGAGCAGCGUGGAGCAACGUGGAGCAACGUGGAGGAGGGUGGAGCAACGUGGAGCAGCGUGGAGCAACGUGGGCUCAGAGGAAGGAAUUCUGCCUCCCUGAGAAAUGUUGGUCUGGGCUUUCCUCAAUUAUUUCUGAAAAUCACAAGACAUGUGUGGUCCAUACCAGCUGUGGGUCCCCGGGUCCUCGGCACCUUUCACCUCACCAAGACCAAUGCAGGGAAGUCUCACAGUCAUCUUGUGGUGAGUUUCAGGUAUUUCUAAUUUAUUUUUCAAAAAUAAAACAACAAUAUCUCCACAGAUAAUUAGUCCAAAAAUUAGAA